GACGAACGCUGGCGGUGUGCUUCACACAUGCAAGUCGAACGAGGUAGCAAUACCUAGUGGCGGACGGGUGAGUAACGCGUGGGAAUCUGCCUUUAGAUGGGGGAUAACGGGCCGAAAAGUCCGCUAAUACCGCAUAUGCCGCAAGGUGAAAGGAGAAAUCCGUCUAAAGAUGAGCCCGCGUCCGAUUAGCUAGUUGGUAGAGUAAGAGCCUACCAAGGCGACGAUCGGUAGCUGGUCUGAGAGGAUGAUCAGCCACAAUGGGACUGAGACACGGCCCAUACUCCUACGGGAGGCAGCAGUGGGGAAUUUUACGCAAUGGGGGAAACCCUGACGUAGCGACACCGCGUGAGCGAAGAAGCCCUUUGGGGUGUAAAGCUCUGUCAGCUGGAACGAAAACAAUGACGGUACCAGCAGAGGAAGCAUCGGCUAACUACGUGCCAGCCGCCGCAGUAA
rnacentral:rRNA from 1 species